GUGAUUUAAAUACUUGAACUGUAGUCUCGCAAGAGCUCUCUUCAAGUCCCUUCACAUCCACACACACCCUGUGCUCUUGGCUGUUUGGACUUCGUUGUCUGAACAGUUCAACCCCCCUUUUUAAAUAAACUCAGUAUAAUGAAUGUAAACAAGUUUUUAUAAACAUAAUA
rnacentral:misc_RNA from 1 species